CUUUAUAGGGUAUACUGGAAAGGCAAGACACACAAGGUUCUUCAAAUUUUGCUAUGCAGAAGUCCGAUAACAAGGUCAACCACUCCUCCAAGAAUGCAAGAAAUGAUGAGAAGGAGGAUAUGUGCUGAAAGGAAACCUCUAAAUCAUCUAACAAAAAGCAACAAAGGAGGACAAAGAGACAGAAGUCUAGCAAAAUAUAUGAAAAAGAUGUGACAAUGUUUGCUUCCAGAAAUAGCAGAAAACCAAUUGUUAAAAUCGAUGCUCCUGAUGACGAGCGAGACAACAAUAGUCACGCCGACAACAACUGUACCAGCACAGAUGACCGUAAUGAAGAAUGGAACGCCAAAACUAGAAGCAGAACAAAGAAGGAAAGGACCGAUUGCAUAAAGAGGAGGAAAAUAUCAUC